UUAACGCAUAGACAAUAUCAUAUUGAAGUGUUUAUUGUGGUUUACUUUGUAUUUGAUUUUUAUCUUAUCUCUUUGAGAUCCUUGUCAGACUUCUUUGCGCUGUCAGGUUUCUGGCCACAUUCUUGUUGAAGCUCUCAGCAACCUUCUUACUGAUGCAAAACUUCUGGAAGCACGUCAAGAAGCUGCUAAACAAGCUUAUCAUGCUCUGUCUCAUGGGAUCACUGAAAAUGUUUGGAGCCUUUUAGACUUGCACAUUUUUCGGAAUGCACUGGCACACCGAGGUUCCAUAAUUCAGUGAUUUAGUCCAAUGAUGUUUGAUCGGCUGGAGUUGAUGUUAUUGCUGCAAUCCUUCGAGUUAAAUUAUGCGGAAGGAGCAGCAGAAACUCUCUCCUGGAAGGUUGCUCCAGGCUUGAAAUGAAGAACAUGAUAAUCUGAAUGACGCGCAUUUCCAUUUCUACAGAUUGGACGAGAAGCUCAUAGCUACUAUAACCAAUACUUAGAAAUCUCUUUCACCUCUAGGCUGAUUUGUUCCUUUUCUAGGUGUGUCAAGCAUGUUUGUGCCAGGUGCAGCGUUCUGAGCUUCACAUAGUUAACAACUACGCCUCAGUCCCUAACAAAUUGGUGUCUGCUAUAUGAAUCCUCACUGAGUUUCACAAUGUUGCUGACGUAAAAUGGUCCAGCUUUUAAUGGGAUCCAUCAGUGCAACUUUCAUCAGAUUUUUAUUCUGGGAAAUCUCACUGGAUAUCGCCUGGAAUUUUGAUGGUGGUUUCGGUAACAGGUAAAUGCAGUUGGCAUUCCGGAAUAUAUUCUGUUAACAAUUUCUUACAGUUGGCAUACUCUAUGACUGGGCAUGAACAAUGACUGCUGGAACUCUAUGCAAGGAUGAACUGACAUUGGCCGGGAAUGGUGAGAAGUAACGUGGUACAUUUUUUUUUUUUGAAGUGGUGCUAUUUUAAUGCAUAUUGGUAUUUGGUGCUUUCUCUGCAGCAGAGUUCUCAUAGUAAUUUGAUUUUUGUGAUAUGCGACAACUGUGGUUCGGAUCCUUAUGCUCACAUUGUUGAAAUUUGUUACAACGUGAGCUUCUGAGUUUAUAUUUAACUAUGUAUCUUCUAUAGCA